rnacentral:misc_RNA from 1 species
AAAAACUAAACAGAUCAACCUUGGACAGAAAAUGACAUCUGAUUUCCAAAGUAGAAUGUGUAGCCCAAAACUUAAUAAGCCAUUUGCAACAUCUAAGGGGAGAACAACAGUAAAAUUCUUAUCUAGCAUGAGAAGGUUAGUCAUUAAUUCAUUAUCCAAAACAUAAGUAUCAGAGGGUGAAUAAUAAUAAUGAACCUGUCAACUACUCAAUAUCAAUGACUCAUUCAGACUAGUAAUAACUAUAUUAUCUAUUGUUGAUAAACGAAACUUUUUUUUUUAAGAAAAAGAAAUUUUAUUGAGAUAGAAAGACAGGAGACUAGACAAUGGACUCUACUAUAAAACUCAACAGUAACAUAGUGGUUAUUAUAUUCUUCAGAUAGUGAGAAGUAAUACUGAAAUAGAAACAAAUUAUAAGAAAUCUUGUUGAAAUAGAAAGGCAGGAGAUUCAACAAUAAAAUAGUGGUUAUCAUAUUCUUCAAAUAGUGAGAAAUCACACUGAAAAAGAAACAAAUGUUUUAAUGAGAAGGUAAAGGUUAUAAACAAUCUUAAAGAAGAAAUAGAAUAUAAGAGAUUUGGUUAUAUAUCGAAAAGACCACAAAAAAUUGAACAAUCAAAUCACUCAUAAGUCAGAAAUACUAAAUGUUCAUUAGAAUGAAAAAAACAACAUAUAAUUGAUCUUCAUUAACAUAUAGGCGAUGCCCAUGUUAGAAAAAAUGGCAGCAACAUUUGAUAACAAGAAACAAGAACAAGAAUGGCCUUAUUCUAUUUUUCUAUAUUCUGGCCCUGUUGGCCUGUUGUUUUAUCAUUUGCUUUUGGUCUCUGCUCAGAUUAAACAAAUUGGCAGGACUAUCAAGCAGAAAUAAAUAAUCUUAAAAGUAAAAAGAAACAUUCAUAUGCAAUUUUUAUCUGUCUGAAGCUAGAAAAUCAGAUGGAUUAAAAAAGAAAUCUGUGUCAAAUGAAAAAUUUUAACAAACUCUGAAGCCAUUUAUGAUGAUAUUUUCCAUUACUCUUAAGCAAAAAAAAAGCUAGAAGAUUCAG